rnacentral:siRNA from 1 species
UUGGAUACAAGUUCGUAAGGGC